UGCACUUUAGUGAAGGCCUGACUGUAAACCACUCUCUGGCAUGUCAGGCCUGAAGAUCCUGUGUA
rfam:Danio rerio chromosome 2, GRCz11 reference primary assembly.